rnacentral:rRNA from 1 species
GGAUAACCUGCCCUUGGGUCCGGCAUAACCCCGGGAAACUGGGGAUAAUUCCGGAUAACGCACAUAUGCUGGAAUGCUUUAUGCGUCAAAUGGAUUCGUCUGCCCAAGGAUGGGUCUGCGGCCUAUCAGGUAGUAGUGGGUGUAAUGUACCUACUAGCCGACGACGGGUACGGGUUGUGGGAGCAAGAGCCCGGAGAUGGAUUCUGAGACAUGAAUCCAGGCCCUACGGGGCGCAGCAGGCGCGAAAACUUUACAAUGCGGGAAACCGUGAUAAGGGGACACCGAGUGCCAGCGUCAUACGCUGGCUGUCCAGGUGUGUAAAAUACACCUGUUAGCAAGGGCCGGGCAAGACCGGUGCCAGCCGCCGCGGUAACACCGGCGGCCCGAGUGGUGAUCGUGAUUAUUGGGUCUAAAGGGUCCGUAGCCGGUUUGGUCAGUCCUCCGGGAAAUCUGAUAGCUCAACUGUUAGGCUUUCGGGGGAUACUGCCAGACUUGGAACCGGGAGAGGUAAGAGGUACUACAGGGGUAGGAGUGAAAUCUUGUAAUCCCUGUGGGACCACCUGUGGCGAANGCGUCUUACCAGAACGGGUUCGACGGUGAGGGACGAAAGCUGGGGGCACGAACCGGAUUAGAUACCCGGGGUAGUCCCAGCCGUAAACGAUGCUCGCUAGGUGUCAGGCAUGGCGCGACCGUGUCUGGUGCCGCAGGGAAACCGNGAAACGAGCCACCUGGGAAGUACNGCCGCAAGGCUGAAACUUAA